rnacentral:sRNA from 1 species
UGUAAUAUCAAAGGGGCCCGCUGACAUA